rnacentral:rRNA from 1 species
GAUGGCUCAGUGAGGCUUUCGGACUGGCCCAGAGAGGUGGGCAACUACCACUCAGGGCCGGAAAGUUAUCCAAACUCGGUCAUUUAGAGGAAGUAAAAGUCGUAACAAGGUCUCCGUUGGUGAACCAGCGGAGGGAUCAUUAAAGAGUUGCAAAACUCCCAAACCAUUUGUUUAUCUACCUGUUUCGUUGCUUCGGCAGGCGGCUCUUCGGGGCCUUUGCUACCUGUAGUGCCUGCCGGAGUAUCUAAAACUCUUGUUAUUUUUGUUCUGUCUGAGUAAACUUUUAAUAGUUAAAACUUUCAACAACGGAUCUCUUGGUUCUGGCAUCGAUGAAGAACGCAGCGAAAUGCGAUAAGUAAUGUGAAUUGCAGAAUUCAGUGAAUCAUCGAAUCUUUGAACGCACAUUGCGCCCAUUAGUAUUCUAGUGGGCAUGCCUGUUCGAGCGUCAUUUCAACCCUCAAGCUCUCUUGCUUGGUGUUGGGGCUUCUGCGGCUUCGGCCGCAGGCCCUGAAAAACAGUGGCGGGCUCGCUAUAUCUCCGAGCGUAGUAAUCUCUCUCGCUUUGGAAGUGUGGCGGUUCCCGGCCGUUAAACCCCCCAAUUUCUGAAAUGUUGACCUCGGAUCAGGUAGGAAUACCCGCUGAACUUAAGCAUAUCAAUAAGCGGAGGAAAAGAAACCAACAGGGAUUGCCCUAGUAACGGCGAGUGAAGCGGCAACAGCUCAAAUUUGAAAUCUGGCUUCGGCCCGAGUUGUAAUUUGUAGAGGAUGCUUUUGGUGCGGUGCCUUCUGAGUUCCCUGGAACGGGACGCCUUAGAGGGUGAGAGCCCCGUAAAGUGGACACCAAGC